rnacentral:rRNA from 1 species
AUUGAACGCUGGCGGCAGGCCUAACACAUGCAAGUCGAACGAGUGGCGGACGGGUGAGUAAUGUCUGGGAAACUGCCUGAUGGAGGGGGAUCACUACUGGAAACGGUAGCUAAUACCGCAUACCAUCAGCUGUGCCCAGAUGGGAUUAGCUGGUUGGUGGGGUAACGGCUCACCAAGGCGACGAUCCCUAGCUGGUCGGAGAGGUUGACGAGCCACACUGGAACUGUGACAGGGUCCGACCUCCUACGGGGGGCAGCAGUGGGGAAUAUUGCACAUGGGGCGAAAGCCGGAUGCAGCCAUGCCGCGUGUAUGAAGAAGGCCUUCGGGUGUUAAAGUACUUUCAUCGGGGAGGCGUUACCCGCAGAGGAAGCACCGGCUAACUCCGUGCCAGCCGCCGCGGUAAUAC